rnacentral:rRNA from 1 species
GACGAACGCUGGCGGCGUGCUUAACACAUGCCAGUCGAACGGAAAGGCCCCUUUGGGGGUACUCGAGUGGCGAACGGGUGAGUAACACGUGAGUAACCUGCCCUUGACUUCGGGAUAACUUCAGGAAACUGGGGCUAAUACCGGAUAGGAAUCCUUGCUGCAUGGUGGGGGUUGGAAAGCUUCGGCGGUUUUGGAUGGACUCGCGGCUUAUCAGCUUGUUGGUGGGGUAGUGGCUUACCAAGGCUUUGACGGGUAGCCGGCCUGAGAGGGCGACCGGCCACAUUGGGACUGAGAUACGGCCCAGACUCCUACGGGAGGCAGCAGUGGGGAAUAGUGCACAAGGGGCGGAAGCCUGAUGCAGCAACGCCGCGUGCGGGAUGACGGCCUUCGGGUUGUAAACCGCGUUCAGCAGGGGCGAAGCUUGUGGUGACGGUACCUGCAGAAGAAGCACCGGCUAACUACGUG